GGAUGUGACUCAGUGGUAGAGUGCUUGCCUGGCAGACAUGAGGCCCUGAGUUCAAUCCCAGCACCA
rnacentral:tRNA from 1 species